rnacentral:rRNA from 1 species
AUUGAACGCUGGCGGCAUGCCUAGCACAUGCAAGUCGAACGAGUGGCGGACGGGUGAGUAAUGUCUGGGAAACUGCCUGAUGGAGGGGGAUAACUACUGGAAACGGUAGCUAAUACCGCAUACCAUCAGAUGUGCCCUGAUGGGAUUAGCUUGUUGGUGGGGUAACGGCUCACCAAGGCAACGAUCCCUAGCUGGUCUGAGAGGGUGACCGGCCACACUGGAACUGAGACACGGUCCAGACUCCUACGGGAGGCAGCAGUGGGGAAUAUUGCACAAUGGGCGCAAGCCUGAUGCAGCCAUGCCGCGUGUAUGAAGAAGGUCUUCGGGUUGUAAAGUACUUUCAGCGGGGAAGCGUUACCCGCAGAAAAAGCACCGGCUAACUCCGUGCCAGCAGCCGCGGUAAUUC